UCACCUACCUGACUCUCUCUCUCUCUCUUUCUUUCUUUCUUUCUUCUCACUAUUCUCACUCAGGUCAACAACCAUCAUCAUCAUGACUACCGUGAUUCAGGGACCAGUCAUGAAGAUAUGAGAGAGGGAGGGAAACACCAAGUUAAGGUCAAGUAGAAGAGAAGAAAAAAAUUCUUAAAAGAGAGAGAGAGAGAGAAGAUGGAGAAACCUUGAUGAUGUGGUAUUUUAUCAAGUCCGGUUUUUCAUCUUUAUCAUUCUCACAAACAGAAAAAAUGUUCAUCUCUCCCUCAUCCUCAUCUUCAUCUUCAUCAUCUCCAAACUGAUGAUCAUCAUCACCAACCUCAUGGUUGAUUAACCAGAUAAUUUGAUUGGUAUUUCAAGGUGGAGCUCAUUCAAAAACAUAUUCACUUGAUGAUAAUUUUGCAAGAAUUUUUUCCCCUUCAAUCUUUGCCCCUUUUCUUCAUCAUCUUACCUGUUGAAGAUGAAGAUGGAGAUGAUGAAGAUCAUGAUGAAGAGGAAGAAAUAAAGACUCACCAUUGACUAUAACUUAUUACAACUUUUUUUCUUCUUCCAUCAUAAUAAUAACAUUAAAUUUUCUUGGGUUAAGGUACAUUGAUCUUCUCACUGGCAACGUAACAACAAUAACCAACUAACUAAAUCAACUAAUGAUUCUGAUUGUUAUUUAGUAUUUUUUUUGUAAUUCUAGUUAGUUGAUUGUGUUUGAUGAGCCCAGGUAAAUGUUUACCGGUAAAGAUAAAUUUUAAUCAUAUUCAUGGUCACGUUCAGGUAACUACAAUUAAACAUACACACACCUAAUGUAUUUCAACGUGUACGUCACACUGAUUGUUGUUGUUACCAUUUUUUAUUAUAUUGUUUCAUAUUGAUUGUAAAUUGUUAUCCCAAAUGAUUAGCAUUUCGUCAGACAAUUAAAAAGUUUUCCAGAAAACAUCAAGACACAAAAAAAGCUCACAACAACAACAACAUCAACUUAAUCAUCAAUUUUGUUUUGUUUUUCUCAGAGAUGAGAAAAGAAAGAGAAAACUGUCUUACUCGUAAGUUCGAACUCUCAGGUCAAUGGCCUAUGAGAGAAACCAGGAACUUGGUUGGAACCAAGUUCAAGGAUCGCUCACAGAACUUACUCAGAAUUCAUGUUACUUACGAUUCCGAGGCUGCGUCUUCAUCUAUGGAAGAUAAAAAGAUUAUUGUAAAUGAACACAUACGAUCCAAGGACAGAGAAGAAAAAGUGCUGGGGACCAUUUAAACUACCCUGAGGUGGUAAUCAUCAUCAUUAUAAACGUCAUCAUGACCAUUAGCACCAAUAGUAACCAUUUAGAAACGGGAGUUGGCCUCAGGCGGUGAACUUUUUUACCUGAUCAAGCGAAACGAUUAUGAUUAUGGUGAUGAUGAUGAUCCUGAUGAUGAAGACAGAAAAUUAUCAUGAAACAAGAAAUUAUCCCAAUAAUAAUAAAGAGGCAAGGACAUUAUUAAAUUAUCAUGUUUCUCAAAAAGUUCUGAGUCUUUAAGGUGGAAAUUACUCAAGGCUCCAUGAAAGAAAAGGUAAAUUCAAGGUGAACUUUUUUUCUCUCCCUCUUGUAAAACUUUUCUAAACUUCAAUUCAACCUCAUGAUUAGAAAUCCAUGAAUUUAUCAUCCAUUUUCAUGGAAAAGCAAACAGGUAUAUGCACUUAUCAUUAUUAUCUCAUAUUCACUUGUUGGACAAUAUCAGAGAACUCAGAAUCAUGAAAGAGAAAUUCAAUUUGAUUGUAAGAGUAAAAUUUUUCGAAAAAGUUUCUUUUUUGAUCUCCGAUUUUUCAAUCAAUCGAUUGCCAAUCAUUUCUUUUUAUAUGAUUAUUCACAUUUCAAGUUAUCGAUGAAAAGAAAAAGUUUUAUUUCGAAUUUUUUUUUCCAACUAAUCAUUCGUGU